rnacentral:tRNA from 1 species
GGAGAGGUGGCCGAGUGGCUGAAGGCGGCGGUUUGCUAAACCGUUGUACGGGCUAACACCUGUACCGGGGGUUCGAAUCCCCCCCUCUCCGCCA